rnacentral:rRNA from 1 species
CUUGCUAUUUUUAUGACUAGCGGCGAACGGACUGACUAACGCGUGGGAGAUCUGCCGAGUAUCGGGCGACAACGUUUGGAAACGAACGCUAAUACCGCCAACAUUGAGAAUCGCAAGAUUCUUAUUUAAAACAAACAAUUGCUUCACUACUUGAUGAUCCCGCGUUGUAUUAGCUAGUUGACUACUGUAAAGGACUACCUGGGCGAUGAUACAUAGCCGACCUGAGAGGGUGAUCGGACACACUGGGACUGACACACUGCCCAGACUCCUACGGGAGGCACCAGUAGGGAAUCUUCGGCAAUGGGGGCAACCCUGACCGAGCGACGCCGCUCGAGUGAAGAAUGUUUUCGGAUCCUAAAACUCUGUUGUUACAGCAGACCGUUAACUACAGUGUAAAAUUACUUAAAUGACCGUCUCUAAC